UUGAUGCUGCAGUUUGACUCCAUAGGCAGUCUUCUGGCAGAGUCUUUCUGGAUGGUGGUUGGUCUUUUUCAAUGAAGUCCUUCAACUGCUUUGAUGAGGCCCACCUGUAUUGUGGCAGAAUGAGCACAAACCUCCCAUCAGUGUGUCCCAUCCCAGGCUGCAAGAGCCCUGAUGACACCGUUCACAGCGUCAGACGUUUCCCACCAGUCCCAAUUGUCUGCUGAUCUUCACUCUAGUCUCCUCAAAUAUCCUCAUGAUGGUAGCUCCAGGAUCCCUUCAAGUGUGACUGAAAUCCUUUGUUCUCGUUGAGAUCUUCUUUGACUCAACCACUGACUGUCUUCUCCUAAAGGCCUACGCAUUCCUCACCUGAACCACACAAGUUAGCCCCACACUCGGUGCUGCCUUGUUGAAAGAACAUCAGAAUUUACAUUUUACGAGGCAUCACAGCUCAUCUCCCCCUUGACACCCAUCCCGUGACCUGGCAGAGAAGAAGUGCCUGUUUUCCCUCCGGAACAAGAACGACAAAGCGAAGUUUCCAUCCUAAUCGUUCCGAGGCAAUUAUGAGCAAAAUUCUGAAGAGGCACACAUGGUGAUCAAUCCCACUUUUCAGAUAGCGUGAACCGGGGCACGCGAGGAUAAGGAAGGAUGCCAUUUUCGUAGAGAAGGAAAGUGCUGUGUUUAAGGCCAACCAUGGCCUUGGACCCAGCAGAGUAUCCAAAGCUUUCUCGUUUGCCGUCUCUGUGUUCUAGUUCAGCCCUGCGGUGGGGCAUUCAUUCCCCCUUCCAAAUCCUAUAAAGCGGAUCAUAGACAGAAA